rnacentral:rRNA from 1 species
GACGAACGCUGGCGGCGUGCUUAACACAUGCAAGUCGAACGGAAAGGCCCCUUUGGGGGUACUCGAGUGGCGAACGGGUGAGUAACACGUGAGUAACCUGCCCUUGACUUCGGGAUAACUUCAGGAAACUGGGGCUAAUACCGGAUAGGAAUCCUUGCUGCAUGGUGGGGGUUGGAAAGCUUCGGCGGUUUUGGAUGGACUCGCGGCUUAUCAGCUUGUUGGUGGGGUAGUGGCUUACCAAGGCUUUGACGGUAGCCGGCCUGAGAGGGCGACCGGCCACAUUGGGACUGAGAUACGGCCCAGACUCCUACGGGAGGCAGCAGUGGGGAAUAUUGCACAAUGGGCGGAAGCCUGAUGCAGCAACGCCGCGUGCGGGAUGACGGCCUUCGGGUUGUAAACCGCUUUCAGCAGGGGCGAAGCUUGUGGUGACGGUACCUGCAGAAGAAGCACCGGCUAACUACGUG